rnacentral:rRNA from 1 species
UACGGAGGGUGCAAGCAUUGAUCGGAAUUACUGGGCGUAAAGGGCGCGUAGGCGGCCAGAAAAGUCAGAUGUGAAAUUCCGGGGCUCAGCCCCGGAGCUGCAUUUGAAACUUUUUGGCUAGAGUACAGUUAGGGUAAACGGAAUUCCACGUGUGGCGGUGAAAUGCGUAGAUAUGUGGAAGAACACCGGUGGUGAAGACGGUUUACUGGGCUGAGACUGACGCUGAGGCGCGAAAGCAUGGGGAGCAAACAGG